rnacentral:lncRNA from 1 species
GAUUGCGUACAAAACGAAACAAACAAAUCACAAACGCAAAUCCAAAACGAAAGACCUCUGCCCUUGAGAUGCUCGGUGUCAUCAUCAGAGUGCUCUAGAAAUCAAAGCCGCCAUCGAAGCCACCGCCGUCGUCGAACCCGGCGUCGUAGCCGGCAUCGUACGCCGACGCGUCCGACAUCAUGUCGCCGAUCAGCAGCCCCCCGACGGCGCCACCGAGCAGCCCGGCCCCGAGCCCCAUGCCGAAGUUGUUCUUCUUCUUCUGCGGCUUCACGGCCUGCUGCUGGUACCCGUACCCGGCGGCCUGCUGCGGCGGGUAGCCGUACCCGUACCCAGCCUGCGGCGGCGGGGGCGGGUAGCCGUAUCCAGCGGCCUGCUGCGGCGGGUACCCGUACCCGCCGUACUGCGGCGGAGGAGCGGCGUAGGGCGCCGCCGUGCUGGGACCGGCGGCAGGGUAGGCCGUCACCGGCUCGCCCGCCUUCGCCGGCUCGCCUGCCGCGGUCGGGUAGCCGGAUGAGGCCGGGUAAGCGGUCGCUGGCGCGUCGGCCUUGCCGCCGGUGGGCGGGUACGCGCCGCCGGGAGGUGGGUACGCGUCGGCCUUGGCUGCCGGCGGGUAUGCGGCAGGAGGUGGGUACGCGUCGGCCUUUCCUGAAGGAGGCGGGUAGGCGGCGGCGGGAGGCGCGUACGCGUCAGCCUUACCGGACGGCGGCGGGUACGCAGAGGGAGGCGGGUACGCGGCGGCCUGGGUGUAUGCGGACUGGGCGGGGGCGUAGCCGUUGGCGGCGGCCGCGGACCGAGUGACCUCGCCGAGCUUGUACGACAGGUUGAGGACUCCCUGGGGCUUGCCAGAGGAGAUCUUGCGGACCUGGUAGGCGACGAACUUGGCGGGGACGGGGCCGUCGGAGGCGCCGGAGAGGAGCUCGGAGAGCGGGAUGUGGACCUCGCCGACGUCGCGGUCGCCGAGGGCGCGCUCGGCGCGGAGGAGGACGUGGAGGGAACCCGCGCCGGUGGCCGGGACGGCGAAGCGGACCGUGGCGUUCCAGGUCGGGUUGCGGCCGCCGAUGCGGUCGGCCUGGACCCGCUGCCGUGACCGGGGGUCGCCGGAGAGCGACACCACGGCGUAGACCUCCAUCUUGGACAUCAGGUUCACGUCCUUGAGGUCCUUGGCGGAGAUCAGCGUCAGCUCCAGCGUCCGCGUCGUCGCCAUGGCCGGCGGUGAGCUCGCGAUCGUGGGUGGAUGGAUUUUUCUUUCUUGUCUGGAUCGGCGGCGGAGACGAGAAAAAGUCAAGAUGGAUUGUGUGUGUGCUG